rnacentral:sRNA from 1 species
AUUUCCGCUUCCGGUGCGGGCCGCGCGCGAGCGUAGCGGUGGGAGGCGGCGACCAGCCGGUUGAGGCCCCAGGCUUGGCCUCACCACAAUGUGGCACGAGGCUCGGAAGCAUGAGCGGAAGCUUCGAGGCAUGAUGGUCGACUACAAGAAGAGGGCGGAGCGGAGACGGGAGUAUUAUGAAAAGAUCAAGAAGGACCCAGCCCAGUUCCUGCAGGUACAUGGCCGAGCUUGCAAGGUGCACCUGGAUUCUGCAGUCGCCCUGGCCGCUGAGAGCCCUGUUAAUAUGAUGCCCUGGCAGGGGGACACCAACAACAUGAUUGACCGAUUCGAUGUCCGCGCCCACCUGGACCACAUCCCCGACUACACGCCCCCUCUGCUCACCACCAUGUAAGCCACCUCCCAGGGGCUUGCCAGGCACAGCGUCAUACCCAGGAGCCCCUGUUCUUUUCCCAGCCUGCCUGUCACCUUCCUAGGAGCCGCUCCUAUUUGGUACCGCCCUGAGCCUGAGGGGGAUGCCUCAUUUCCCUUCCUGCUGGCUUGGGGUGGGAUCCACCCCUUCUCUCUGAUUUCAAGGUCUCGCCC